ensembl:lncRNA
GCCUCACUCCUGCUUUGCCCCACGUUUCUGUGUCAUAGUUCGCAGCCCCAUCUACUCCUACGUUACAAGAGACCCACACCAAAAGUCACCUUAAAUCGAAGCUUUUCACUUCAGCGCGGUGUUUCUGCAAAACCGUUUCCAUUAUUUUGCAGACCACCUCCUGCUCCUUUGUGUCACUCGCGCCUAUUGUUCCCCAUUGCUCAUUUCCGACUUGCAGAAGUGACUCUGGCUAUGCAGCCCGUUCCUGCUUCCUUUCAGCAGCCCUAAUUCCUUGCCACUGGUCAGCUUUGAUAGCCAAUUAUCUCCCGAGGCUGACCCUGAUACAGGGACCCUGUUCGGGCGCCAUUUGUGGCAAGCGCACUCUGUCGCUGGUGCAGAACGAAGACACGUAUGGCACAGUAGUUCAGUGUAAGAAGCCUUUGGAUAGCGUCUUGCAACCUCAAGAAAGUGAACUGCUCCAAGACAAGGACUGUUGUCAUAAAUUCACAGCAACUGUUACCUAGGAGGAGGGGAGCAUGGAACAGAUAUUGUGGAGUCUCCAUGGAUUCAUCAAGGACUACUACAUAGAGAAGUGAAAGUGAUCUUCAAGAGCAACAGGUGGCAGAUGUCCCCAUAGAAGUCUGUGUCCUGAACUGGCAGAUAGCCUGUUGGCUGACACACAGAGGGCUGAAGCAAGAUGCUUUGUUACUUGCUUUGUUACUACACACUUGACAACAGUUCCUGCAUUUUCAGAUGGGAAGAAGAAUCAACAACUCCUAGGAAGGAUGAGGAGGAGAGGGAGAAAUAUUACCUUUACCUUUCAGAACAAGAGUUUUUACCUGCACAGCCACUAC